rnacentral:misc_RNA from 1 species
AAUCAUCAACUUCAUAGUUUUAUUACUGUGAAGCUUGGACUUGGAAGCUGCUGGCUCUGUCGGCUCUUCUUAAAUGCAUUAGCUGCUUGUCCGUGGGUUGGCUCAGAGUGUGAUAAGUAUCUGCACUUGGUGGCUGCUCGCUUUGGAUGUGGCUUCUAAUCGUCUUCGGACAACUUUUAAG